rnacentral:lncRNA from 1 species
GGACUCAAGUGAUCCACCUGUCUCAACCUCUUAAAGUGCUGGGAUUACACACUCUUUAAAAAUGUUCUCUGUACAAUAUUUCGUAAAGGUUGAGAAUAAGGAAAGACAUUGCCCCUUUAAGCAAAGUGGUAAGGCAACAUAUAAAAACGACUCAAUCCACAAUAGUGAGAAUUUCCGUUAAUUACAUUCUAAAGUUUUUUUGUUUAAAAUGAAUUGAGGGAGUACAGUAUGCUCUUCAAGAUAAUGAACAGAGAAAAAUGCCCAAUGACUGCUAGCCAUCCCAAUAAUGUAUUUACUCUACGUUGUGUUAUUUUGUUUCUGCAGUAGGACCCAACUGAUUAGAAAGGAAAUUACAUAGUCAGUGACCAGCUGAGACUGAGUACGGACAGAGGAAGAAGCUAACUUACAUCUAAAGAGACCUGAAGUCAGGAGACAUUUCUAGAUAAACCCCUCAGCCAGAUAACAUCAACCCAUGACUUCCAAUACCAUUGCUGAAGAGGUCACAGAGGAGAGAGAAUCCUGAGAAGAUUUUUAAAAUCUGAAAGUUCUUGUAUUAAAAGAAGUGGGAAGUUUCUUGGUAUGUGUAUGAAGCCUAAGAUUGAGAUAGUGGUACUGAGGGUGGCAUGAUACCCCAUUGAGGCUGGGAGUUUUAUUUCUUUUAAGUCUUUCUGUAGGUAUACCUCUGUGGGUUCCUGCCACUUCUAAACCAUAGUUAUAAGGCCAAUAAAUACAUAAAACAAUCUUCCUACUGCUCGCAGGCACCAUGCUCUUCCUAAUAGCUCUAUAAGAACCCUUUAUUGCUCGUGACCCUGUGUCCACAUUAUGCUAUCUGAUUAUUCAUAAUUUUUCUCGGAUCUGCUUGAUAUGAAACAUGGAUACAGCCAUAUUUGAAGGAACAUGUUACAGGAAAAGAAACCCCGACCUCGGAAUCUGAGGAUUUGUAUAAUUUGGACUUUACACAAAAUAAUUAUGUAAUUUUGGGCAAGUCCCUUAAUACAGUAUUUGAACUCAAUUUUAUUGCCCCUUUUAGGUCUAAACUCUCAGCUGUGAGUACUAAUUUGUGGCGUGAUGGUGAGGUGAAAUGGCAGAGGCCCAUGGCACAUCAUUGCAGAAUAUGCGUUAGACUUUCACAAGUCAUCAGUCAUGAAUUUCAGGAUCUGGCUGCUUGUCUUCAUGGGAGACGUCAGGAACCCACCACUUAACCACACAAGGGCCCAACUCAUCGAGCAUUACAGCUUGGGGAAGAAACGCCAGCCGCGAGCCAGAGAAACAAAAACGAGGGGCUGUCCCUAAAAUGCAGGAUCCAAGGGCCUGGAGCUGGAGAGAAAUCAGGCAGCACCUCACAGAAUCCAGGCUCACAGAAAGUCUGUUUCGAUCAGAAUUUAAAACAACCCUCUUCCUGCUGCAACUCUUCAGGCCACUGACAAGGUGACAGGAUCACAUUUUGUACAGGAUACAAACAUAUUCCCUAUGGGUGGACAAAACGACCCCGUAGCCCAUCUACACCAAGGAGCUGCACCUGUGCCCUGUGUAGCCAGAUGCAAUUUUCUAUUAUUGGAAAAUCCACUUUAAGUUGUUCCUUAGCAAAUUCUUCCCAAGUACUGUUUCCUUUCCUCAAUUCCUGGCCUAGCAAGUCUAGAAAGAAAACAAAAAGAAUGUAAAAUGUUCUUGGUUGACUUUACUCUUAAUUACUAAAAAGCAAACAGAGAAAAUUAAAAUCAAACACAUGCAAAAAAUUCUUCUAGAGCCUUGCACACAAUGCCAGUUCUUGAAAUAUUUCAUAAAGCAAAGCUAAUGAAAUAAACAAAGACGUGGCUGAAAGGA